UACAGAGGUGGCAAGCGUUGUUCGGAUUCAUUGGGCGUAAAGGGUGCGUAGGUGGCGCGCUAAGUCAGGUGUGAAAUCUCGGGGCUUAACUCCGAAACUGCAUUUGAUACUGGCGUGCUUGAGGACUGGAGAGGAGACUGGAAUUUACGGUGUAGCAGUGAAAUGCGUAGAGAUCGUAAGGAAGACCAGUGGCGAAGGCGGGUCUCUGGACAGUUCCUGACACUGAGGCACGAAGGCCAGGGGAGCAAACGGG
rnacentral:rRNA from 1 species